rnacentral:rRNA from 1 species
CCCUUAGAUGUCCGGGGCCGCACGCGCGCUACACUGAAGGAAUCAGCGUGGCUUUCUCCCUGACCCGAAAGGGUUGGGAAACCCGUUGAAUCUCCUUCGUGAUAGGGAUUGGGGCUUGAAAUUGUUCCCCAUGAACGAGGAAUUCCCAGUAAGCGCGAGUCAUAAGCUCGCGUUGAUUACGUCCCUGCCCUUUGUACACACCGCCCGUCGCUAGUACCGAUUGAAUGGCUUAGUGAGGCUUCAGGAUUUGCUUAGAUCGAGGGGCAACUCUCUUUCAGAGCGGAGAAUCUAGUCAAACUUGGUCAUUUAGAGGAACUAAAAGUCGUAACA